AGUCACUGACAUUAGAUACCCGUAGUCCAGGGUGUAAACGCUGCAGACUUGGUGUUGGAAGCCCUUUGGGGGCAUUCAGUGCCGGAGAGAAGUUGUUAAGUCUGCUACUUGGGGAGUACGUCCGCAAGGAUGAAACUUAAAGGAAUUGGCGGGGGAGCACCGCAACGGGAGGAGCGUGCGGUUUAAUUGGAUUCAACACCGUAAAACUCACCAGGGAAGACUGUUACAUGAAGGCCGAGAUGAAGACUCUGCUAGAUUUUCAG
rnacentral:rRNA from 1 species